rnacentral:hammerhead_ribozyme from 1 species
AUCUAGCUGACGAGUCCCAAAUGGGACGAAACGCGCAUCCUGGAU